rnacentral:rRNA from 1 species
GUGGGGAAUCUUCCGCAAUGGACGAAAGUCUGACGGAGCAACGCCGCGUGAGUGAUGAAGGUUUUCGGACUGUAAAGCUCUGUUGUUUAGGACGAAAGUGCCUGUUGCAAAUAGUUACAGGUAUUGACGGUACUGAACGAGGAAGCCACGGCUAACUACGUGCCAGCAGCCGCGGUAAUACGUAGGUGGCAAGCGUUGUCCGGAAUUGUUGGGCGUACAGAGCAUGUAGGCGGGAAUCUAAGUCUGUUGUGAAAAUGCGGGGCUCAACCCCGUAUUUCGAUGGAAACUGGGUUUCUUGAGUGCAGGAGAGGAAAGGGGAAGUCCCAGUGUAGCGGUGAAAUGCGUAGAUAUUGGGAGGAACACCAGUGGCGAAGGCGCCUUUCUGAACUGUGUCUGACGCUGAGAUGCGAAAGCCAGGGUAGCGAACGGGAUUAGAUACCCUUGUAGUCC